rnacentral:rRNA from 1 species
ACGUUAGCGGCGGACGGGUGAGUAACACGUGGGUAACCUACCUAUAAGACUGGGAUAACUUCGGGAAACCGGAGCUAAUACCGGAUAAUAUUUCGAACCGCAUGGUUCGAUAGUGAAAGANGGUUUUGCUAUCACUUAUAGAUGGACCCGCGCCGUAUUAGCUAGUUGGUAAGGUAACGGCUUACCAAGGCGACGAUACGUAGCCGACCUGAGAGGGUGAUCGGCCACACUGGAACUGAGACACGGUCCAGACUCCUACGGGAGGCAGCAGCA